GACGAACGCUGGCGGCGUGCUUAACACAUGCAAGUCGAACGGAAAGGCCCUGCUUUUGUGGGGUGCUCGAGUGGCGAACGUGUGAGAAACACGUGUGUAACCUGCCCUUGACUUUGGGAUAACUUCAGGAGACUGGGGAUAAUACCGGAUAGGAGCUCCUGCUGCAUGGUGGGGGUUGGAAAGUUUCGGCGGUUGGGGAUGGACUCGCGGCUUAUCAGCUUGUGGGUGGGGUAGUGGCUUACCAAGGCUUUGACGGGUAGCCGGCCUGAGAGGGUGACCGGCCACAUUGCGACUGAGAUACGGCCCAGACUCCUAAGGGAGGCAGCAGUGGGGAAUAUUGCACAAUGGGCGGAAGCCUGAUGCAGCAACGCCGCGUGCGGGAUGACGGCCUGCGGGUUGUAAACCGCUUUCGCCUGUGACGAAGCGUGAGUGACGGUAAUGGAUAAAGAAGCACCGGCUAACUACGUG
rnacentral:rRNA from 1 species